GAAAGGGUGAAUUGAAAAACUUUAGAUUAAUGCAAGAGAAUCGAUUUAAAACAUGUAUGCAGAGCUUUAAAAUAUAAGACACAACUAACAAAAACAUAUAACUAAUUGUCCCUUCAAUUAAAUUUGCCCAAAGGAAAUAGCCCCCAUAAAUAAUGCAAACUCAUAUCAACAACCUAUGAAUUUUCUUAAUGGUUUGUCACAACCACAUAGUUUAUCCAAUUUCCAAAGAAUAUAUCAAUGCAAAUAGUUUAUCCAAUUUCCAAAGAAUAUAUCAAUGCAA
rnacentral:misc_RNA from 1 species